UCCUUAACCAGCAGUGAGAAUUGUGUCUUA
rnacentral:piRNA from 1 species